rnacentral:lncRNA from 1 species
GCGCAGGCGCCGAGAGGCGCGCAGGAGACCUCAGGCCCAGGCUCCACUCCCCAGCUGUGAAAGGACUGCUGUCCAGACCCCCAAGCUAGCCCGCCAGGCCUCCAUAGAGCUGCCCAGCAUGGCUGCGUCCAGUACCAAAAGUUGGUGGGAGACGGGUGAGGUACAGGCUCAGUCUGCAGCCAAGACUCCGUCCUGCAAGACUCUUUGGCAGUUGCACUGGGUACUGGCUGAGUUCUGGAAAACAGGAAUGUGAGCAGAGUGCUGCAGAUCUCCUUGUCAGGAGCACCUAAGAGCUGGCAUGACUCUACACCCUCUCUCCUUCUGCAAUGACCUCGUGUCAAGAUGGCAGACCUGCAGAGAUGAAUGUGCCUGGAUACCUGAGUCACCAGGUGGAGGAAACUCCCAUUGACAUGCAUCACACUCCACAUAUGAAACCCUUCUUUUUCUGCACUGUCACUGGGGUUAGGGAUUAUUACUCACUGCAACUUAGCCAAGCAUUAAGUUGCUUGACUAAUACAAGUUUCAAUAAAUGUCUCUUCAUUUCCCAUG